GACGAACGCUGGCGGCGUGCUUAACACAUGCAAGUCGAGCGGUAAGGCCCUUUCGGGGUACGACGAGCGGCGAACGGGUGAGUAACACGUGGGUGACCUGCCCUCAGCUCUGGGAUAAGCCUGGGAAACCGGGUCUAAUACCGGAUAUGACUCCAUGACGCAUGUUGUGGGUGGAAAGCCUUGUGCGGCUGAGGAUGGGCCCGCGGCCUAUCAGCUUGUUGGUGGGGUGAUGGCCUACCAAGGCGACGACGGGUAGCCGGCCUGAGAGGGCGACCGGCCACACUGGGACUGAGACACGGCCCAGACUCCUACGGGAGGCGAGCAGUGGGGAAUCUUGCGCAAUGGGCGAAAGCCUGACGCAGCGACGCCGCGUGAGGGAUGACGGCCU
rnacentral:rRNA from 1 species